UGCAAACUGCCACUCUCCAACAUUUUUUUUGGGGGGGUGAGCGUUUGGUCUCUUAAGAACCGUAAGAAUAGAUCUUAAAUGUUCUGUUUUACCUGGGAUGCUGUCACCUCUUGACACUUCAGAUGAUUCAGUGGAAGAGAUUCUCAACCUCUCACUAUUGCAUGCAUUAGAUGGCACUGUUGGUGUUUAAAAAAGAUUCUUAUCUUCCUGGCAGUUUCACUCUUAGGAAUAUGCCCAAAAGAAUUGAAAACAGAGACUUGAGAAAAUACUGGAAUAUUCAUAACAGCACUAUUCAUAAUAGCCAAAAAGUGGAAACAACUCAGAUGUCCAGAAACCGACGAAUGGAUAAGCCAAAUGUGGUCCCUCCACACAGUGGAAUAUUAUUCAGCCAUGUAAAAGGAAUGAAUUUGUGAUACAGGCUACAACACAGAUGAACCUUGAAGACGUUACGCUCCGUGAAAGAAGCCAGACACAGGAGAACAUAGAUAUGGACAGAAAUAUAGAAGAAUGAAAUGAUAGAAAAUCCAGGAUUCGUCUCAAAGUCAAGGUUGAUACUGAGCUGAUAAGGGCUGAAGCUUGUUACACAGAAAGAAUUUGCAAGUGGCUCAGAGGAUCCCUGCAAAGUGGAUUCCGAGCCGAGCUCCCAGGAGUGAAUCCCUGCCAGUACUGCAGGGCUGGCCACCACGGAAGCGAGCGCCUCCCGCAGGAUCCAAGGACUUCAAAUCUCGGGCGGCUCUCACGGCUCCAGGUCCCAGGACCACUCUCGCGGUCCGCAGCGUCAAAGCAGAGGCUGAGACUUCGGGAUAACAAAAUAUCGAAUGACGGCCCUUCCACCACAUUUUAAGUUAAUCGCAGUGAUCCUGGAUCUCAACAGUAGGAUCUCAUCAAAGUUCUUAACAUCAAGGACCCUGAAGCUCGCCCGCCAAAGUGUUCCCACCAGCCCGGGCAGAAAGCGGUCACGGCCG